GGGAAAGAAAGGGGAUUGAUUUAGGUGGCUCUACAGAAAGAAAUAAAAAGCCAAGAAAGAAUGUAAAAAAAUAGACAGUUCUUGCUAUGGAGCUAGGUUACUCUUUCACCCAUUAUGUACUCAAGUUUCUUAAGGCUACAUAAAUGGAAACUGAACAACAGAUGCAACAAUCUGUGGAAACUUGGAUGCACUGUAAAUCUACUGGGAUUAUAUCUGGGAAGACAAUGUUUGCAUUCAGGAUAAGACGAGCCUGGAGCCUAUCCCUUGGAUCUCAGGGCACAAGGUGGAGGACACUGGAGUACCUGGAGGAAACCCCAAAAGAAUGGGGAGAACAUAUAAAUUCCAUGCACCAAGGCUGGAGGCGGGAAUCAAACCCCCAACCCUUGAGGCCCUUGGGAGCUGUUGAACACGGACAGUGGGAGACGCCGCUUGAAACAGCAAAGCCCUCCAACCUGCAAUCUUUCUCAAGAGCCAAAGUUGGCUGAUGAUGAGACUUUGUCAAAGAUGAACCUGCCACGAAGUUUUACUCAAUAAACUUUACACACUGC
ensembl:lncRNA